rnacentral:misc_RNA from 1 species
UUGAAAAUUAGAAUUUCACACCAAAACUAUGGUAUUUAUAUUUGCAUGCUUCCAUUCCAUGCUCCUCAUCAAUCUAGCAAACCACAUUCAUACAUUUCUUGUACUAAUUAAUCUCUUGUUUUCUCUUACUUUGCAAGCAAACCCACCAAGGGAAAGCAAUGGGUUCUGAGUCUCUAGCUCAUGUUCUUCUUAUUUCUUUUCCUGGCCAGGGCCACGUAAACCCUUUGCUUAGACUUGGCAAGCGUCUUGCCUCUAAGGGUUUGCUUGUCACUUUCUCUACACCUGAAAUCACUGGCCGGCAGAUGAAAAAAUCAGGCAGCGUCUUUGAUGAGCCUACCCCAGUUGGUGAUGGCUACAUCCGGUUCGAGUUCUUUGAAGAUGGCUGGGAUGAUGAUGAGCCUAGACGACAAGACCUUGACCAAUACCUGCCUCAACUUGAGCUUGUUGGGAAGAAGUUGAUUCCUGAGAUGAUCAAGAGAAACGCCGAGCAAGGUCGCCCAAUUUCUUGCCUCAUCAACAACCCUUUCAUUCCUUGGGUUUCUGAUGUGGCGGCAAGUCUUGGUCUCCCUUCAGCAAUGCUCUGGGUUCAAUCUUGUGCUUGUUUCUCUGCCUACUAUCAUUAUUAUCAUGGUCUUGUCCCUUUCCCUAGUGAGGAAAACCCAGAGAUCGAUGU